UACGUAGGGGGCAAGCGUUGUCCGGAUUUAUUGGGCGUAAAGAGCGUGUAGGCGGCCAGGUAGGUCAGCUGUGAAAACUCGAGGCUCAACCUCGAGACGCCGGUUGAAACCAUCUGGCUAGAGUCCGGAAGAGGAGAGUGGAAGUUCCUGGUGUAGCGGUGAAAUGCGCAGAUAUCAGGAAGAACACCCGUGGCUAAGGCGGCUCUCUGGGACGGUACUGACGCUGAGACGCGAAAGCGUGGGGAGCAAACAGG
rnacentral:rRNA from 1 species